CCCUGAAAAAAAUUAUUUUUAAAAAUAAAUUCAGCAAAUUUAUAUCUACAAAAAUGGUCCUGUCCCUGCCACGCAAGCGCCACGUCAGCGUCACGCGGGCGAGGCUGGGGACGGUAGUUAAGUUAAACACGGUGAACCAUUCACCAUGUCUAAACACAGUAAUGGUUCACCGUGAUUAGAGCUAGUGCGUAUUUUUUGUAAUAUAAAUAUUGAAAAGAGAAAUAGGGAGUAGGAAUGUCAAUGGGUAUGGAUAUCCGAAAUAUUAUUCGAACCGAAACCCGAAAAAAUUAUAUAUAUACAUAAUUUAUUUUUAUUUAUUUAUACAAUAUAUAAAAUAUUUAAUAAUUUUUAUUACUUAGAUCUUUAUUCAACGGUAUAGAAUUUUAAAACCCGCUAGGUUCAGAUUCGGGUUUCGAGUUUUUGGUCGGAUAUGGAUAUGGGUAUGAAUUUUUAAAAUCCGUCGGGUUUGGAUUUUAAUUUGAUUUUCGGGUUCGGAUUUGGAUUUUUGAAAAAGGAAAAAAAGGAAUACAAAUAUGAAACACGGUGAACCAUUCACCGUAUUUGAACACGGUGAAUGGUUCACCGUAUUCAACUUAACACACUGGCCCCGACUCUAUCCGCGUGGCGCUGACGUGGCGCCUGCGUGGCAAGCCCAGGAUCAUUUUUGCAAAUUAAAUUUUGAUAGGGCUAUUUUUAAAAUAAAACUUUGUCAAGAG
rnacentral:lncRNA from 1 species